GACGAACGCUGGCGGCGUGCUUAACACAUGCAAGUCGAACGGAAAGGCCCUGCUCUUGUGGGGUGCUCGAGUGGCGAACGGGUGAGUAACACGUGAGUAACCUGCCCUUGACUUUGGGAUAACUUCAGGAAACUGGGGCUAAUACCGGAUAGGAGCUCCUGCUGCAUGGUGGGGGUUGGAAAGUUUCGGCGGUUGGGGAUGGACUCGCGGCUUAUCAGCUUGUUGGUGGGGUAGUGGCUUACCAAGGCUUUGACGGGUAGCCGGCCUGAGAGGGUGACCGGCCACAAUGGGACUGGGGUACGGCCCAGACUCCUACGGGAGGCAGCAGUGGGGAAUAUUGCACAAUGGGCGGAAGCCUGAUACAGCAACGCCGCGUGCGGGAUGACGGCCUUCGGGUUGUAAACCGCUUUCGCCUGUGACGAAGCGGGAGUGACGGUAAUGGGUAAAAAAGCACCGGCUAACUACGUG
rnacentral:rRNA from 1 species